GGGAAUGUGGCUUAGUGGUAGAGUGCUUGCCUAGCAUGCAUGAAAUCGUGGUUCGAUUCCUCAGUACCA
rnacentral:tRNA from 1 species